UGUUCUAUGGCUUAGUUGGUUAAAGUGCCGAUCUAGCGAAGUCGUGGGUUCGAAUUCCACCAGAACGC
rnacentral:tRNA from 1 species